UGUGUGUGUGUGUGUGUGUGUGUGUGUGUGUGUGUGUGUGUGUUGAAAUGCUACUAUGCAAGUAACCCCGGCGGAAGGGGUUACAUGAAUGGGAUGAGGGACCUAUGGAAUCUUUGAGCUACUAGUUUGUUUGCCGUCAGUAUGGAUGUUGGGUAUCAGUGUUCCAACAUUCUGAAGAAGGGACUGCUCUCACAGCUAGAGAUUAACAAGGUACAACACACAUGCUAUGGCAAGGGGGAGCCAGGAUGACAGGUGUUGUGGAAGUUUUCCAUUAAAUAAAGCCUGCAGACAAGCGGUGAGUGCUAGCUAACAUCUUUAAUCAAAACACAAAGAACGGAAAAAUCAAGCUUGGUGGAGCCUGCAUGAUCACGGUGCAAACGGUCAGCAGAGUCUCCCUGAGCCUAACACGGCUCUCAGUUGAAAACCUUCUUCAGGAACAAAAGGCAGUACAGCUGUUUCACACUCCCUUGCUACCUCCCAGGGUCCUCAAAGAGGCUAAAGAUUCUUCCUGUGGAGUUGUCUGCUUCCCCCCAACUUCCUUACCAGACCCCCACUAUCUGUCUUACUCUAUGAGUGUGAGACAUGCUAAAAUCUAGUGGCACCAAGGCAUUAUACAAUAAAAUAAUGUGAUUAACACAAAAAUAAAAGAAAUUCCUAUACACAGGUCAGGGGGGAGAUAUCAUUACCCCCAGAUGGGUACCAAGACCCAAGUGUGAUAGAAGAAGGAUUGCGAGAUCUGAGGAACUGAUCUGAAGGACAGAAUCAGAUAGAAGUGUUCCUUCUUCCUGAUGUUGCUGUCACAGCUGCCGUGGCGAGCCGUGUGGUGUUGGAGGAAAGGACCCAAAAUGCAGGCAAGCGACUGAUGAUAUGAGUGAGAGUUUAUUUACAGAGUGGCAGAGUGACAAAAACAGGCAAUGAAGCAUGAGCAGUUACUGAAGAAAACCUAAACUGGGAAAAACUAAAGAGCAAACCUGAAAUCAUCACGAAACAGAGUGAGGGGCAGAGAGACGCAGACUAAGGAACAGGAUACCAAGAAACACAGGGUAACACAGAGGAUGAACACAGACGACGCAAUGAGGGACACAGGCAGACACACCCUAUAAAUACACAGAAGGUAAUGAGGGAAUGGCACACAGGAGGGAAGCACAGCUGAACCUAAUUCACCAGACGAGAUACGAACCUUCAAAGUAAAACAGGAAACACACAGACUGUUUUACAACACAAACACGUGGACACGAACAGAGCACCGAGGACAGACACAGGUAGGGCUGAUAAAACACUAAACUCCAGGUUCAACCCUAAACUAAUACAAAAUCAGAAUAAACACAAAACACAAAAUGAAAUCCAAGGAAACACAAAAUGCUGGGUCAAAAUGACCCAGGAUCAUGACAGUUGCCAACAUUCGAUAUCACUACGUCUAUCACUACAGGUGUCUUUUUCUGCUUGGUCUGUAUCUGGAAGUCCCACAGGAUCUUAGCUUAGUCAUAGGUCUCUCAUCUCUCUAAUGUACCCUUUCCUCUUUGGUUACUUGCGUAGUGGCAUUCCAACAGCACCCUGUUUUCGUCUCUUGCAUACCAAUGCUGUAUUAUUCUAAUAGCCCACUUCUCAUCAAGGUGCCAAGCUUGAAAGACAGACUGCCCGCAGUGGCGAGAGGGGAAUAAAAAGGCCUCUGCUCUGAAUAGACUGAAGCAGCCGGGGCUGCACAGCACGCAGCCAAUCACGUGCUCCGCUGUCUUCUGCAGCCAGUGACUAACAGCAUACUCAAACUUCUGGAACCAAACAACAGGACCUGCAAAGGAAAUACAAAUGGGAUGAAUCCGGCCACAUGCUGCCCCAACAUGAGGGUAUAUUCUCAGACGGUCGAUGAGCAACAUCACAGAAGCAGGCUGGAAGUCAG